rnacentral:lncRNA from 1 species
CUCGAUAUGUUGGAGUGCAGGAUCAGCAGCAUACACUCUUUGCUAUGCCUUAGGCAUGAAGUCCAACGUUGACAUAAAGAUGUGAUUCUGCGUUCUUGGGAUACACAGAGAGGUUGCACAGAGGGAGAAGACUUGACAGCAACUAAGGCUAAAACUUGGGCUUAGAUAGGCAUGUAGUAGAUCCAAAAGUGUGUUUAGGUGAGCCGGCAUGAUGACCAAUGAGAGGAGGUUAAAAUGAGGAAAUGAAAGGGGAUUGGAUAAAUUCCAGCUAGGUGUGCCUGGGCAUUGGGGAGGGGUUACAGGAGAGAAGACCCAGUAAUAUGGCAGGGAAGGUUCUGCUAAGAUGUAGAUUGGGGCAUGUAAACAAGGAUGAUUCAACUGGAAGAUUUAUCUUAUAAUGCUCUUUCUGAAUGUAUUUAUCUUUCAAGAACAAUAACUAUACCAAGUGUCGUCCUGGUGACUCAUGCUGUUUUUCUUGCAUAUGCCUAGUGUUCAUCAGUAUGCGGAUGAUACCCAGCUCUACCUCUCUUUCAAAUCAGAACCAGUGAAGGUGUUGAGGGUCCUAUGUGAGUGUCUGGAGGCGGUUGGGGGAUGGUUGGCGGCUAACAGAUUGAGGUUGAAUCCUGACAAGACAGAAGUACUGUUUUGGGGGGGACAGGAGGCGGGCAAGUGUGGAGGACUCCAUGGUCCUGAAUGGGGUAACUCUGCCCCUGAAGGACCAGGUGCACAGCCUGGGAGUCAUUUUGGACUCACAGUUGUCCAUGGAGGCACAGGUCAAUUCUGUGUCCAGGGCAGCUGUUUGCCAGCUCCAUCUGGUACGCAGGCUGAGACCCUAUCUGCCUGCGGACUGUCUCGCCAGAGUGGUGCAUGCUCUAGUUGUCUCUCACUUGGACUACUGCAAUGCACUCUAUGUGGGAACCUGGACUCCUCACAGCUGCCCUCAUUGCUGAAGCCUCACUUACUGGGGUUGAGUUGUGGGAGCUUCCAGCAAGUUCUCAUGAGAACUUUCUGGAAGCCGCUGCCAUGACACCCUAGUGAAAGGAGUGGGUGGGAUAAUGUGGGAUUCUGUCACCUGAGGCAGCUGCUUCCGCAUGCCUAAUGGGUAGUCCAUUUCUAUCUGCAUCUAUAUUUGUGUAAAAUUUCUGGUUUAUGGAGACAGUUUGUCUCUGGAGCUCAAUGCAGGGGCUUUUAGAUGCAUAAACCAUCAUUUGGUGACCUUUUGAUUACCAAUCAUUUUGCCUUAUUAUCGUUAUUGCAACCUAGCUCCCUGGUAGUCCAUCAGUCAACUUCCUGGAUACUCUGACCUCACUGACAAGAAGGCCAAGCAUAGAGAAAUCAACUACAAGACUGGAUGUAACAUCAAGAAAGAAUGGUCAUUCCCAUGUUCCUGUGCUUUAGCCAAAGCAAUCUUUGGUUCGCCCCAAACACAAAAUGGAAGCUAACAGCAAAAGCCUUGUAACAGCAUUUUCAGUCAUGAAGGUUGGUUUUGUGUGUUAUUUUACUGGUACAUCCAUGCAUGCGUGAAAAAUAGUAAAACACCACACACAAAAGGAUCUUGAUGCAGUCACAUGUAUGUACAAUUGCUUUUGCUUUUCCUUUUGCAGUGUUUUAUCACAGCAAAAUAGACGAGGAAAGAUUCACAAAUGCAUGAUAGGAACUCAAAGAGGCAGCAAAUUCCACAUGUACUGCAUUCAAUACAAAAUUUAAAGGGGGAAAAAGAACAAUGAAGGAUUCCUAAUGCAUCAGUUCCACUUUGGAAACAAGAUGAGAUAAUUCAGAACUACAGG